rnacentral:lncRNA from 1 species
UCCGCUAGGGUUUGGAACAUCCACUAUAUUCCCUUCUAAAUCCGUCAUUUUAGGAGCGUGUUUGGCAUAAUUCGAGCCGCCAAGUUCGACAAUACGGCGUUCCCAAUGUGACUUUUCCCGUAUGAGCUUGUUGAUCUCGUCGUUGAGGUCGCGGAGGCGGUGCUCCCCGAGACCUUCGUUUUGGAUCUCGGCGACUUUGCGGCCUAUCUCUCGCAUGAUUUGUUGACGCCAUUUGUCAGCCUCGGCGAGGUCGCGGCAUUCCGAGGCGAGGUAUGGGCGGCGCUCUUUGGGUUUCUUUUUUUCCUCGGCUUUUAGGGCUAUGAAUCGAUUGAGCAUCGAUUGAGCUUUCUCUUCGUUUCGAGCCAUUUUCUGGAUAGGGGUUUUAGAAUGGAGAUUAA